AUACAACUGCAAGUGUGUUUAGGGGUGUUAAAUAGAUGGCCAUAUUAAUGUUUUUGGUUGGAUCAUUGAACACAACUGUUUUCAGUCUCACUGUUUGAAUGUCCACUUUGUAUGCUUUGAUACUGUGACUUGAGCAACUGUCUCUAGGAUGAUAAUUGUAAUCUAUUAACUGGUGAUUUCUUACUGUUUUUUUUUUUUUUUGUAGUUCUGUAUUAAUUGUACCCUUACACUGCUUUGUUUUGUUUUGUUUUUUCUGUUUUUCCUUUUAAAUAAAAUUUAAAAAAAUUUUUUUUAAAAUAAAUUAAUUAAAAAAAAUAAAAUUUGAAAAAAGUAACAGAAUGAAACAAAGAGGACUCAGGACCUCAGGGACGCAUGUGAGUGUGGCCGCACUGGGGAUGGGACCAGCAGACCGAAAGCCCUUAGUACUGGGGGAUGUGAGUCUUUCUUAUCACAUGGCCUUCUGUGGCCAUUUCCCCUCCGUGUCCUUGCUCUCCUCCUCCCUGACGCCCUUGUCUUCCUCCUUUGUUUGGCUUUGGCUGGCAGACUGGCUGGACAGAAAUCAGUUCCAGGAAAAGUACUGAUUUUUCUGAGGAGCAAAAGAAACUCUUCAGGAUUUCUGCUAUGUUCUCUCCGACCAGAAACCAAGAUAUGAUCCUUGCAAGUGUUUAUAGGUAAGAUUGUUCAUCCCAGAAUUCCAGGAGGCAAGACCAUGGAAGAAGAAGGAGGAGGAGAAGGAAGAGGAAGAGGAGAAAAUAAAGAGGACGAAGAGAAAGAAGAGGAAGAAGAAGAGGAAAAUUAAUAGUUUACUUUUCAGGAGUCUUGGCUGACUUCCCUUCUUUUCCAAAGUGUCCCUGGACUCCCCAUCCCAGCCAGUGACACCUGGCUCCAACUUAGGUUAUAUACUGCAUCUGUGGGUUACCUCACACGGCUCAGAAAGCUUUCAGUCUUCCCACCUGCCUGCUUCCCCCAGCCAAUAUUUUGUAAAUAUUUUUUAUUCUCAAAAAUACAUUUUAAAAAUAUACUUUAAUCAGCUUUUGAAGAUAGGAAUGAUAAAAGUUUCAGUGUGACAAAAUAAAUCUGCUUUCAGUAGGG